UAGAGCUGGCCAUAAUGAGGAAGGUGUGUGUGUGUAUAGGAAUUAUCUGUGGUAGUGGCUUACAAGAGUUGGAUUUUUUAAAGGAUAAGUAUGAAAAAGAUGUGACUACACCUUUUGGGAAGCCGUCCCAAACACUGACGUGUGGAACUGUUGAAGAUGUCCAGUGUGUUAUUUUGUCCAGGCAUGGGGCCAAGCAUACCAUCAUGCCAACUUUGGUAAACUACCGAGCUAACAUCCAUGCCUUGAAAGAAGAAGGUUGCACACACAUCUUGGCCACGACAGCCUGUGGUUCAUUACAAGAAUCUAUUUCACCUGGGGACAUUGUUGUUCUGGACCAGUUCAUUGACAGGACCACCAAGCGAUGCCCAACCUUCUUCGAUGGCUCUGACAUUGCUCCAAAAGGAAUAUGUCAUUUAGAAAUGCAUACACCAUUUUCACCAAAACUAGCAAAGCUUCUGCAUGAUACGUCAACAAAACUGGGUUACAAGACACAUCCUACUGGCACUGUGGUGACAAUUGAAGGGCCAAGAUUCUCAACUAGAGCUGAAAGUAAAAUGUUCCGAACUUGGGGAGGUCAUAUUAUCAAUAUGACAACAGUUCCGGAGGUGAUAUUGGCAAAGGAGUUGGCCAUGUGUUAUUCUAGCAUUGCUCUAGUCACUGACUAUGACAGUUGGAGAGAGAACGAAGAUGGUGUUUCAGUUGAUACUGUUCUGAAGACUUUCAAAGAAAAUGCUGUAAAAGCUGAAAACAUCCUCAAAUCUGUCAUCCCAGAGAUUGCCAAACAUAACUGGACAGAUGAAUUGCAACACAAUAAGACAGUUUAACUAUAAAAAUCCAAGCCUGCUCCUCCUCCACCUCCUCAUCUGUGAUGCCAUCUCAUAGAACCUGCUGGAAAUAUGAUCAACCAAGGGAGAUAACCGAGUUUUAAAUAGUUAAAAGAUAAGCCGUCAGGAGAUCCUGACUGGUUCCAUUCUUUCUUACACCUGAAUAAAUGCUGCUUGUGUAAUCCUAAGUUUGAAAGUAAAUUCUUUCCUCAUUUGCAAAAGUAAUCACUCCAACAUUACUACUUUUUUUUAGUCUUUAAUCAAAAAGUGCAAUCUCACGGUUGCACUAUAUUUCUUACCAAAUCCUUUGUGCAACAUUAACUUCCUGUAAUCUCUCUUCCCACUCAAUGCUGGGCCCACAUUCUACUGUAAGAACCAUAACAACAGGGGAAACAAAAGGUUUAUAUUCAAAACACCUAUGUCAUUUCUUACCGGAGUUCUAGUUUUUUUUUUCUCCACACUGAAGAAUAUUAAGAUUUUACUAAAAAAAAAAAUACAAAUUUUGUUUUUUUUUUAAUUUUUGAUAGUCUGAAAGCAUAAAGGUAAAAAAAUAUUUACUGUUCAUUUCAAACUUCCAAUGCAAAUGUUAUCCAAUUAUUGUUAAUUAUAUAAGCUAAAAUUAAAUUUUUAUUUUCAAUAAAAGAGCUAAAUGCUUUUUUUUUUAGUAUA
rnacentral:misc_RNA from 1 species